UACGUAGGGUGCAAGCGUUGUCCGGAAUUAUUGGGCGUAAAGAGCUUGUAGGCGGUUUGUCGCGUCUGCUGUGAAAUUUCGGGGCUCAACCCCGAACUUGCAGUGGGUACGGGCAGACUAGAGUGUGGUAGGGGAGACUGGAAUUCCUGGUGUAGCGGUGAAAUGCGCAGAUAUCAGGAGGAACACCGGUGGCGAAGGCGGGUCUCUGGACAGUUCCUGACGCUGAGGCACGAAGGCCAGGGGAGCAAACGGG
rnacentral:rRNA from 1 species